rnacentral:rRNA from 1 species
AUUGAACGCUGGUGGCAGGCCUAACACAUGCAAGUCGAACGAGUGGCGGACGGGUGAGUAAUGUCUGGGAAACUGCCCGAUGGAGGGGGAUAACUACUGGAAACGGUAGCUAAUACCGCAUACCAUCGGAUGUGCCCAGAGGGGAUGAGCUAGUAGGUGGGGUAACGGCUCACCUAGGCGACGAUCCCUAGCUGGUCUGAGAGGAUGACCAGCCAAACUGGAACGGAGACACGGUCCAGACUCCUACGGGAGGCAGCAGUGGGGAAUAUUGGACAAUGGGCGAAAGCCUGAUGCAGCCAUGCCGCGUGUAUGAAGAAGGCCUUCGGGUUGUAAAGUACUUUUGGCGAGGAGGCGUUACUCGAAGAAGAAGCACCGGCUAACUCCGUGCCAGCAGCCGCGGUAAUUC